CCGCUACUCACCAGGUGUAACACAAAGGGGGCUCCGAGCAGCGCUAACCACAGAGCUCACAUAGCUCCCACUGGGUUGGGGAGUGAAGGAUGAAACAUCACAAACAUGUGGGACAGGCUGGAUGGGCAAGUAGGUGUUCUCCUGUGCUGUUGUUUGUAUGAAUCACAUUUUGGAUUGUGUGAUAAAACAGAUGAACCCAAUACUCAAGUGACUGACUGUGUUACAUUCGCUACUUCACACUGCUCCUUAAUAUUUGGUUUAAUCAUCAAAAACCUAAGCACCUUUUUGAAAUGCCUAGCGGCCUAUCUGGAGCUCAAUCAACUGAAGAAAUCCUGGGUUUGUUUAGAAUGCAGGACAGCACACUGACAGUCAAAAGUGUUCUUGGCUGUACACUUGUGUUAACAUGUUCAAAUCUCUGGAGGCUUUGGGUUUCGCUGCAGACUACUGAUUGUGAAAGAGAGGACUGUGAAAUCCAGGAGUUUCUCAGCUUUGUAUUCAUCC